CUGACAGCGGGGCCUCCACCCGCAGCGCUGGAGCCUCAGGGCACAGACGCGUUCCCCUCACCCUCUGACCCGGCCUUUCCGCUGCCCCCCAGCCUCCUUCAUCCUUCAGGCAACCCGGGGGCUGCUUAAAGCCGCCAGGCCUCGCCGGGCCUGCAUCCCCUCCCCUGACAGGCCGCAGCGGGGCCUGGGCCCCCACUCACCUCAGGGGGUGCUGAGGGCCCCGAUGGGGACUUGGCUUUUCCAGCCCCUUCAUCACCACCCUGCCGGCGUGGGAACCUGUCAGCCAUCCCACACGGGUCACCCCACCGCAGGGGAAGCCAGCAGGGGGGUGACUUUGCAGGCAGCGAGUUGUGAGGCAUUGCCAGCAGUAAAAAGAAUCCUCACACCCCCAGGUUGGGCCUGGCCACCUGCAAUGCAGUGUACAGCUCCUCCAGGACUUAAUACCAUGGCUCCUCAAGAAUCCCAGCUGCACAACAGAAGAAAAUUGCUACUUGCCUAUUCUGUGUUACCAGAAGGAGCAGAAAACCCUUUAAAUCAGACAUUUCUUGGAAGGUGGUGACAGACAGAACAGUGGCUGGAGCCAAGGAGAACUGGGACUGGUACUUGCUGGUUCUGUCAGAGCUGAAGUUUCUCUACAGUCUCA